rnacentral:tmRNA from 1 species
GGGGGCGAAACGGUCUCGACUGGUUAGGUUGAGCGUAGGUCGCAUGCGGAGGAUGAUCGUUGGCCUCCUAAAUCAUCGGUCAAAAUAGUAACUGCGAACACUGAAUUCGCCCUCGCCGCUUAAAUAGCGACGACGUCUUUACCCUGACGCCUGAUAGGGGAUAAAGACGCUGCUUUCGGGCUGGUCGUGAUGCCGGGCUCCCGGGUUGAGCGAUGAGAAUUUACAGGAAGCUGGUUCUUCUAUCGUGCCCGUGCACCGCCUUCAGUAGAAGAAUGAGAUUUGAGAAGUGUGUACUAAGCAUGUAGAAGCCUGCGGGAUGUCUCUCCAGGACCCGGGUUCGACUCCCGGCGCCUCCACCA